UACGAAGGGGGCUAGCGUUGUUCGGAUUUACUGGGCGUAAAGCGCACGUAGGCGGAUCGUUAAGUCGGGGGUGAAAUCCUGGAGCUCAACUCCAGAACUGCCUUCGAUACUGGCGAUCUUGAGUCCGGGAAGAGGUGAGUGGAACUCCUAGUGUAGAGGUGGAAUUCGUAGAUAUUAGGAAGAACACCAGUGGCGAAGGCGGCUCACUGGUCCGGUACUGACGCUGAGGUGCGAAAGCGUGGGGAGCAAACAGG
rnacentral:rRNA from 1 species